rfam:Salmo salar isolate Sally breed double haploid chromosome ssa01, whole genome shotgun sequence.
AGGAAUACAAUUUGUAAGUCGCUCUGGAUAAGAUCGUCUGCUAAAUGACUUAAA